rnacentral:rRNA from 1 species
CGCGCAGGCGGUCUUGUCCGUCAGGUGUGAAAGCUCGGGGCUCAACCCCGGAAGUGCACUUGAAACAGCAAGACUUGAAUACGGGAGAGGAAAGCGGAAUUCCUGGUGUAGAGGUGAAAUUCGUAGAUAUCAGGAGGAACACCGAUGGCGAAGGCAGCUUUCUGGACCGAUAUUGACGCUGAGGCGCGAAGGCGGUGGGUAGCGAACG